AGAUCAAACUGUUGGUCGUGCCUCGGUACGUACUGGUAUUUUCGGUUUCUCCCUCCUGACGAACCUUGAUGUCAUUAAUUUGGUGUCUUGGGGAAUCAGGACUGUUACUUUGAAAAAAUUAGAGUGUUUAAAGCAAGCUAACGCUUGAAUACAUUAGCAUGGAAUAAUGAAAUAGGACGUUCGAUCCUAUUUUGUUGGUUUCUAGGAUUGACGUA
rnacentral:rRNA from 1 species